AUACGGAGGGUGCAAGCGUUACUCGGAAUCACUGGGCGUAAAGCGCGCGCAGGCGGGCUGAUAAGUUGGAUGUGAAAGCCUACGGCUCAACCGUAGAACUGCAUCCAAAACUGUCAGUCUCGAGUCUGGGAGGGGAAGAUGGAAUUAGUUGUGUAGGGGUAAAAUCCGUAGAGAUAACUAGGAAUACCAAAAGCGAAGGCGAUCUUCUGGAACAGUACUGACGCUGAGGCGCGAAAGCGUGGGGAGCAAACAGGAUUAGAAACCCCAGUAGUCC
rnacentral:rRNA from 1 species